GGAGAGAUGGCUGAGUGGUCGAAAGCGGCCGCCUCGAAAGCGGUUGUUCCGGUUAAUUCCGGAACCGUGAGUUCGAAUCUCACUCUCUCCACCA
rnacentral:tRNA from 1 species